UUGCGACCAUACCACGUAGAAACACCGGUUCCCGUACGAUCCAAUAAGUUAAGCCACGCAGAGAUUGAUAAGUAACUAGAUGGCUGACCGCUUGGAAAUACCA